UAGGGAAUCUUCCGCAAUGGACGCAAGUCUGACGGAGCAACGCCGCGUGAGUGAAGAAGGAUUUCGGUUCGUAAAACUCUUUUGUUAGAGAAGAACAGCGCAUAGAGUAACUGUUAUGCGUGUGACGGUAUCUAACCAGAAAGCCACGGCUAACUACGUGCCAGCAGCCGCGGUAAUACGUAGGUGGCAAGCGUUGUCCGGAUUUAUUGGGCGUAAAGCGAGCGCAGGCGGUCAAUUAAGUCUGAUGUGAAAGCCCCCGGCUCAACCGGGGAGGAUUAUUGGAAACUGGUUGACUUGAUGGCAGAAGAGGAUAGUGGAUUUCCAUGUGUAGCGGUGAAAUUCGUAGAUAUAUGGAGGAACACCGGUGGCGAAGGCGACUCUCUGGUCUGUAACUGACGCUGAGGCUCGAAAGCGUGGGUAGCAAACAGG
rnacentral:rRNA from 1 species